CCGAUGUAGCUUGCUACGGAAGUUUCUUUUGGAAUACUUAGUGGCGGACGGGUGAGUUAACGCGUGAGUAACCUGCCCUUGAGUGGGGAAUAACACCGAGAAAUCGGUGCUAAUACUGCAUAAUGUCAGAGGACCGCAUGAUCUUCUGACCAAAGGAUUUAUUCGCUUAAGGAUGGACUCGCGUCCGAUUAGCUAGUUGGUGAGGUAAUCUGUGUCCCACCAAGGCAACGAUCGGUAGCCGAACUGAGAGGUUGAUCGGCCACAUUGGGACUGAGACACGGCCCAGACUCCUACGGGAGGCAGAAUCAGUAUGUAUAUUGGGCAAUGGGCGAAAGCCUGACCCAGCAACGCCGCGUGAAGGAUGAAGGUCCUUCUGUGUAUUGUAAACUUCUUUGAUCACCGCCACGCAAUUUUGACGGUACCUGAAGAACAAGUCACGGCUAACUACGUGCCAGCAGCCGCGGGUAGUACGUAGGUGACAAGCGUUAUCCGGAUUUACUGGGUGUAAAGGGCGUGUAGGCGGGUUUGGCAAGUCAGAAGUGAAAUUCCCGGGCUUAACUUGGGCGCUGCUUCUGAAACUGCUUUACUUGA
rnacentral:rRNA from 1 species